ensembl:lncRNA
UUAAGCAAAUCUGAAAUGGUGAGCAUUUCAUUUUUUUCGUUUUGAAACCAUGUUUUUUAAAUUUGAAAGGCCAUGUCUGAAUUAUGAAGAGGUGGAUUCUAAACCAAUAAAUCAUAAAUAAAUUCAGUUUACUUUAUUAUUAUUUUCAAAGAACAAUAUUGCUAUGAUAUUAAUUCAAUGGCAUUGACUUUUCCAUAGACAAUAUGCAAUGGCUAUUAAACAUUAUGGUGGAGUCUCCAAAUAAAAACAAUAAAGCCAACUCAAACAAAUGAAAAACUAUAUAUGUAUGCAAUACAAAUAUGAUGAGACGAUAUGAGAUACUAACAGGUUAAUAUUCCAAGAGCCCAUUCUUCUAUUUUGACAUAAGACCCCUCUACUGAAAGGUCAGCAGCACGAAUAGAUGACGCCAAGCCACACCGUUGCAAUUGCAUUAUGCCAACACAAGAUGUCGACAAAGACCUGUUUUUCUGCCUGAAGAUAAACACCUUUUAGCUACUAUACAAACACGGGAUGGUGGCCCGGUUCUGGGUUCGGUCGGGAUGAAGAGGUUCUGAACAGUGCUCUGAAAGAGCCUCCAGGAAAACAAAAUGGGAUAAAAUAAUGUGAAUGAAUGAUCAAGAGAUUGCAAUUUAACAAAUAUUACUAUUUUUUUGUAAAACAAUUUAUCAGUAGAUGAGACAUCCCUCAGAACCAAAUAAUUAUACAAAAGGUAUUUGACAUUGCAUGUAAGUAAUGUUUACUAAUAACGUAAACCAAGACAUUGUACUCUGUUCUAAUCUGAUCCAUUCCUUAUCUUUCUUGUAUUAGCAUCACAUUCAACAUCACCAUUGUUUCUUUAUUUCCUGUCUGACAACCGAAAAACCACCCAUACACCUUUGAUUGGUUUCCAAGUACUUUUUGGCAGCCAGGCCCCUUCCUUAGUGUAGAGGCGCCGCUCUUGAUCUUGAUGCGGAGGAAGUAACACAGGAACACGAGCAGCAGUAAUCCUGUCGCUAGGAGGGUCCAUCCGUUCACCAACGACCACAGGUUGGGGGUUGGCGGGGUUGAGUUUGGUAUCGUUUCACACUCCUGGCACUCCUUUGAUUUGCAGGUGAAUCCCAGCUGACAGCGGCACUUCGUGUUGGAUAUGAUCUGGCAGGAGGACUCCUCUUCCAGC